rnacentral:rRNA from 1 species
UACGUAGGGUGCGAGCGUUGUCCGGAAUUAUUGGGCGUAAAGAGCUUGUAGGCGGUCUGUCGCGUCUGCUGUGAAAUCCGGGGCUCAACCCCGGACUUGCAGUGGGUACGGGCAGACUAGAGUGUGGUAGGGGAGACUGGAAUUCCUGGUGAUAGCGGUGAAAUGCGCAGAUAUCAGGAGGAACACCGAGUGGCGAAGGCGACUUUCUGGCCUGUUCAUUGACGCUGAGGC